ACAAAAAUCUGGCAACAAAUGCCUGGGUCGGAUUAUACAAUGAUAUCAAUAGCUGGCGCUGGUCCUUAAACGACCUCCCACUGAAGAAUGUCACUUAUACAAACUGGUACCCAGGAGAUCCUAAUAAUCUCGGUGGAAAUGAAGCAUGUGUUAUGAUAGGUAGCUCUAAUACAUGGUGUGAUGCACCAUGUAUACAUCCAAAACCCUUCAUCUGCUAUAAUGCUAAUUUCAGUGGUGCUGCCCGGUUUAUUGGCAUCACUACACCUCUGUCCUGGCCUCAAGCUCAGGCUUACUGUAGAAAAUAUCACACAGAUUUGGCCAGCGCUCUUAACAGUUCAGACCAAAACAUGUUAUGGCAGUUUCUACUAUGAGGAAUCAGACAGUGAGACUGCAGGUGAAGUCUGAUGGUAGUGUGUUUGAUCCUGCUGUUCAGUCGUCCAUUUUAGAUCAGAUGAAGCAGAAACUAAAAGAACAUGGCAUGUUGGAGAACACCACAGUGACCUGGAGGGUGCAGAAAGAUGGAAACAUCUUCAAGAAAGAAAAAGAUGACCUGUAACAUCUAAAUGUUCACCUUCAAGUCCAGCAGAUUGUAAACUGACUGAAAUAUAUUUAACCUUCAAUAUAUAAGCUUUAUUCAGUAGGGGGCGGUAGAGCACAAGAUUAACUAGAAGUAGAAUAACAAACAUCUCAUUUUAUUGCUCUGUUUGUGACACAACCACUUUGACUUCAUCUUAAAUUUAACUUUACUUUCAAUGUUUUGUCAAAUAAUUAUUAUUUAAUAUGUUCAGCUUUUGCUGAAAGCUGCCACUGUACACAGUGAUAAGGAGAAAGUCAAAGAGGGUCUGUUCAUAUACUGGGUUUAAUACAUCAGUGUGUCGUAGUAAAGAAUAAAUCCUAUAUAGAAGAGAGAGAAUGUAACAGAACCUGUAAAUACACUGUGUGUACUUAGAACAGUCAGAUAUAAUGACCUUGACACUAUUACUGUCCUUUUAUUCUUAUCUCUAUUUAGAUAUAUUUACUUAUUUUGUUGUAAUUUAUUAUAAUAUCUGUACUUAUGGGCUAUAGGGUUAUACAUUAAUAUAAUCAAUAAACAAUUUAAAAAUAAUACUUUUGUUUUUGUAACAAUCAUAGAUUAACUUUUAUUAUGGUCUGAUUUUAUUAAUACUGUGAGAUUUAAAUUCAUUGUUAAAAACCCAUCAUCUUUAUCAACAUUAUCAUCAUCAUCAUCAUCAUUGUACAUCAUCACUGUACUACAAAACUGUCUUCAUGUCAUGAGCAAACAGAGCAAAGAGUCUGCAACAAUUACAAUCACCACAAGUUGGCAGUAAAAGAAUCAUUAACACAAACAGACGUUCUGAAAUGGAGGAGCUACAGAUCUAAACAAAAUAGAUAAUGAAGAUCCUCCUAUUUGUUCAUCUGUUUGGGAAGCAGGUGAUGA